AUCGGUUCUUCUUCGUUAUUAACUAUCACUUUCUUCUCAAAACCAUCUCAACUAUCAGAGACUGAAAUUCGAUAGAAGAUUUGAUUAUCACGAUCCAAGUCACUCUAGCCGUAACCAAAAAUCAUCUCUACAUCUUCGACGGGAGAAGAAAAGAGAAGAAAGAAACGAAAGAGAAGAAAGAAGAAAAACCCAUUGCUGUUAUAAAUUGAAGUUAGGGUUUCAUCUGGUUGAGAAUUUGAUUGGAGUCGGAUAAGGUUAUUUGGUCGAUGAUUACAGAGAAUUAAAAGGGGCUGUUGUUGAUUUAUCGAUGGGAGGUUAUUCUGAUGAAGAAUCACAAAACCAGGGAUGGAGGAAAGAAGUCAUGGAAUGGAAUGGAUUUGUGGCUGUGAUAUUUUACACAUCCUUUUCUUAGAGAUUUCUUUUUCUAUUUAAUUUUUUUUUGUUGUUAACAUAAUCAUCCUGGCUUAUCGAUCUUGUUCUUAUAUUAGCUGAAGCAUGCAAUAUGUUCAUGGAACAAAAAUUGAUACUGUAUUCAGUAAUUAUAAAAGCGAUUCGCUAGAAUAUGCCUCUGAAAGUGAUCAAAUUUAAGAAAUUGCAGAUGAAACUGAAGAAGGAAUCGAAGGUCCCAAAAUAUGUUUAUACUACAUUAUUUGGGCCAACCAAAAGGGAUGAUAAUGGUUGUGCUGAUUGUUUUGGUUGAAUCAAACUCAGGGGAAGGGUUUUCAUAUCAUGAUUUAUGAGGCAAAUCAGAAUCAGAACAAGGAAAAGAAUUUCAAGCCAAAAUUUUCAGACUGGAUGUUAGUGUUGAGAUUACAGUUGGAAGAACAAGUACCUGCUGUCAUUGAUGAUGGGUUAUGACGAAACGGGUCUGCAUUAGUUUUGAGAAGUUAGUGCUGGUACGAGUUUAUGUGGGUUUGUAUGAGAGUUGAAUUCAUUGCAGGAAAGCAAGAUUUAGAAGGGCUAAGAAAUCAAAACAAAAGUUGGUUCUCCAGUAUCAAAUACCCGAAUGAUUUCACAACUUUAAUUUAAGAAUUGGUAUUAGUAUUUGAUUUUUGUAAUGCUUGCAGCUUGCAUGGUUGUCUUCCAUGAUAGGAGAUCUCUAAUAUUCUUGGUAUGUUUAAUGUAUUUUUACUUUUCUUUACCUAUUUCUUUGAUUGAUUAUCAAUUUACAAUAGGCAAAAAAAAUAAGCAAUCAAAGGGAGAUACUGAUUAUUGUGGCUGAAUUGUUUAGUAGUUUGGUUCCCAUUAUUACAUAGAUUUUAUUAUAUGGUUUCCAAUUUGUUUUUGCUUGACCGUAGAUAAGCUACGGAUUAAGUGACCACAUACCACAUAAUUUACUUCUCCAAUGUAUUUUAUGGUUCCCCAUUAGUUUUGAUAACUUUUUCUUUUGUUGUUAAUGGUCUGUAGGUUAUACUGUUAGGUGCCGUUCAAGGAGUGAUCAUACUAUAUCUUUUUUACAAUUUUAGUUUCUGUUUUCUACAAAUCAGAUAGGGUCAGCAAAAGAGGAGAAAUUUGCUCACACACCAUUUUAUUUAUUAUUCUUAAUUCGCAAACCUGUUGCUCAUACUUUUCAGGGACGUACAGAUACUGGGCUCCAUGUAAUUAAAAUUUCAUACAAAUUUUACAUUACGGAGAAUGUAGCCUGACUAAAUAAUCUGUUUUGUCACCGAGAGUUGAGUGUAAAUUCUGCCGAGAAACAGAUUAUCAAGGAUGGUUUGGUAUCUGCAAGGAUGUAAAUUCCGCCAUGGUUUAAGUUAACGGUUUAGUUAGUAUUUUACCUGUGCUAUAAGUUGAAUCACUUGAAUUGGCUUACGGACACAUGGUGCUAUAAGUUGUAGCUGUAAUCUACAGUUUUUCUAAGUUGACACGACUAUCCCUAACUUGCUGUCAUUCUUUAAUGUAGCAGCGAUGCAGUAACAGAAAGCUGGUAGGCCUUACGAUAAUAAAUCAAUAAAAGGUAAGAUCAUUACCACCUGCAAGUUCAAAAAAUAAAAGUCCGGCAGGAAUGGCAUCACCAAUGUCAGGUUUAAGUCCAUCCUCUAGCCUGGAUUGUUUAUUCCGUAAGAUGUAUAUCUGUUCGUUCCUUUGAUACGGGUAAUUUUUCAACUCUAAACUGUUGUAUCUUUAUUUUUUCUGUAAAAUGUACAGUAUGACCAUGAAAUUAUUGCAUGUAAGCAUUUGAAAGUAUUGUUAUAGAUAUCAGGGAAUAAAGAAGAGCCAUGAUUUGAUAUCUAUGUAAAUUGUUGCGCAAUCAACACGUGACUAACAAGAGAAAUGGCAGAAAUAGCUUUCGAUGCGGCAUUAGUUAUGAUUUUUAACCAACUUGAGUUAGUGUUGCAAGACAUAAAUGAAAGGGGUUUUGUGUUGUUGAGAUGAUGGUUUACUGUGAAUUGAAUUUGCAGGAAAUUGGGUGAGUUUGGAAGCUGUAGAAGUCUAAAUGCUACAGUAAGAAGAGAAUGGCAGGUGUGGUGACCUGAUGUUGGCAGUGGGUGGAUGUGGUUGAUAUGGGAUGCAGUUGAGUUGCAGUUGAAGAUUAUGAAUGAGCUGUUGGGGUUCAUGGCACAGCUUUGCAAAAUAAGAAUAUCAGUUGAAUCAAUAUGUAUCCGUAAAAAGUGAAUUGAACAGCGUACCACGAUAGGAAAGGUGGUGUGGCAUGAAUGAAUGGUGUGAAUUGUGUAAACUAAGACAGUAAAAAAGUCCAACUUCAGAAAAGCUCUUGGCCAAUACAAAGUGGAAGGCUAAGGCAGCUGAUAGAAAUUCAAUAUUUUCGGGUGUAGGCUAUCUAAGUGCCGAUAGCCAUGCGAUGUUCUUCUGGAAUAUUGCAUGCGCUCUACUCAUCCUUCUUUUAUCUGUACAAAUUCAAUAAUUGGUUGCAAGGUUUGCUGAUUUUAUUCAUUGACCAUACGAUAAGCCCUAACUAAUGGUAUGCUGAUGGUAGCGAAUUUGGUCAUUCAACUGGGUCGACAGAAUGCAUGCCCAAGAUAGAAUCUAUCAAAAUGACUGCAAUAAAAGUGUAGGAAGACGGAAAGAAUGUAUAAAAAAUCUCAUAACUGCUGCCAAGACCUGCGUGAUGCUGGAAACUCCAAGAGCGGCCAAUGAAUAAAAGAAAGAUGGAAGGCAGGUCAAAUUGCUUGAAAGAAACUGAAAGGGAUAGUGCAAAUCUGUGUAUUACUAUCCAAAACUACACGAUAAAUGAAGCUCGGUUUAAGGUAGUCCAGAUUUAGAGAUUCAAAUUGCUUGACUACAGAUGACCUACAAACCCGAGGACGGACCGGAAAGACUCUUCUCCCCAGUUUGGAACCAGUGUGAGGAUACAAUUGCAUGUAUUUGCUGGCCCUCCAUCUGACAAGAUAAUGAAGGUGAACAUCGAUGCUAUCACCAACAUAUCGAAGUAUAGACGCCAAAGGUUUGAUUUAGUCGAACAGAAUUUGAUUAUUGAUUCGAAGCAGGGAUGUUCUGGAUUUAUUGAUUUGUCGUAACAAAUAAUCAGGGUUUGUGCAAUUUGUAUGGUUUUUAAUUAAUUUGUACCAAUUACUGGCAUGUCAUUGUCAAUGUACGAAUCUCAGUUCUCAAGUUGCUCUUUCCACUAUCUUAGCAGACAUAGCUAAGGAAAAUUCCUAUCUUAAAUUUCUUUCAUAUUCAGAAUAGGGAUGGAAUUGACUCAAAAAGUGUUCUGCUCGGGGAAUGCAACUAUGGAAUUGAUGAUGUUGAAUAGUAUAUUCUGAACCACAUAAAGUUGGAUAUUUCCUUCUUUAACUCGCAGCUGAAUGAGAUGUUGGUGCUUUUGUAUGCAAGGUAACAAUCAUUUUCAAUUUUAUUCUAAUUAUUACUCAAGAGUUUUGCAGCCCCUGUAAGGGCUUAAGAGUUUUGCAGCCCCUGUAAGUAUUCAUGCUGGAGCUUGCAGGUUGGGCUUCUGUUUUAAUUCUUCUAGAUAAGGUUAACUAAAAAUGUCUUAUGGUACAUAAUAGGAUGAGUUAUUUGGUAAAUAGUUGGGAAGGUAAACUGCUGUUUUCAAUAAAAUGUACACUGUUGUACUAAAAGCCCCUUUUGUGCGUAUGAAAUCCUCAUCUUGCCAUAUAUUCCUUUAUGCUUAUGAAACAUUUGC